rnacentral:tRNA from 1 species
GGAGAGAUGACCGAGUUGGCUGAAGGUGCACGACUGGAAAUCGUGUGUGUCGUUUAUAGCGGCACCGAGGGUUCGAAUCCCUCUCUCUCCGCCA